GGUUGAUCCUGCCGGCGCUCACCGCUCUUGGAAUCCGAUUAAGCCAUGUGAGUCGAGAGGGUUCGGCCCUCGGCAAACUGCUCAGUAACACGUGGAUAACCUAACCUAAGGUGGGAGAUAAUCUCGGAAAACUGAGGCUAAUAUCCCAUAGACCUUGAUGACUGGAAUGUUUUGAGGUUUAAAGUUACGACGCCUUAGGAUGGGUCUGCGGCCUAUCAGGUUGUAGUUAGUGUAAAGGACUAACUAGCCGACGACGGGUACGGGCCAUGGGAGUGGUUGCCCGGAGAUGGACUCUGUGACACGAGUCCAGGCCCUACGGGGCGCAGCAGGCGCGAAAACUUUGCAAUGCGCGAAAGCGCGACAAGGGGAUUCCAAGUGCAUGCACUAAGUGUAUGCUUUUCGUGAGUGUAAAAAGCUCACGGAAUAAGGGCUGGGUAAGACUGGUGCCAGCCGCCGCGGUAAUACCAGCGGCCCUAGUGGUGAUCGUUUUUAUUGGGCCUAAAGCGUCCGUAGCCGGUUCGGUAAAUCUCUGGGUAAAUCGUUGGGCUUAACCCAACGAAUUCUGGGGAGACUGCCGAACUUGGGACCGGGAGAGGUCGGAGGUACUCCAGGGGUAGGGGUGAAAUCCUGUAAUCCUUGGGGGACCACCGGUGGCGAAAGCGUCCGACCAGAACGGGUCCGACGGUAAGGGACGAAGCCCUGGGUCGCGAACCGGAUUAGAUACCCGGGUAGUCCAGGGUGUAAACGCUGUGCGCUUGGUGUAGGGGGUCCUACGAGGGCAUCCUGUGCCGGAGAGAAGUUGUUAAGCGCACCGCCUGGGGAGUACGGUCGCAAGACUGAAACUUAAAGGAAUUGGCGGGGGAGCACAGCAACGGGAGGAGCGUGCGGUUUAAUUGGAGUC
rnacentral:rRNA from 1 species